UGGGGAAUCUUGCACAAUGGGGGCAACCCUGAUGCAGCGACGCCGCGUGAGCGAUGAAGCCCUUCGGGGCGUAAAGCUCUUUCGACCGGAACGAUAAUGACGGUACCGGGAGAAGAAGCUGCGGCUAACUACGUGCCAGCAGCCGCGGUAAUACGUAGGCAGCAAGCGUUGUUCGGAGUUACUGGGCGUAAAGAGUGCGUAGGCGGUUUUCUAAGUUCGGUGUGAAAUCUCCCGGCUUAACUGGGAGGGUGCGCCGAAGACUGGGAAGCUGGAGUGUGGGAAAGGCAGGCGGAAUUCCUGGUGUUGCGGUGAAAUGCGUAGAUAUCAGGAGGAACACCGGCGGCGUAGACGGCUUGCUAGACCAUAACUGACGCUGAGGCACGAAAGCGUGGGUAGCAAACA
rnacentral:rRNA from 1 species